GCAGUGAGCUGCUCGGCCUCCUUGCACAACACAGAAAACGGGGCGAGACAAUACUCAAAUGCUCAGGAAUGCUGUGUCGGGAAGAUGAGAGAAAAGGCCGCGCAGGGUUCAACGGCGUGACUGAGAAGAGAGGAAGCCGAACCCACGACCACGCCAAUGUGGGAGGGACGCAGAGCGGGACAAAUACUUGACUGUAAAUGGGCGUGAGAGUUUCACCGACAGAGUUUCUCAGACGUCGACAGCUUCUGCAGCAGCGGGGUCUCCACGGCGACCGGGCCAGGCCCUCGGGACUUCCACAAGGGGAACAGCCAGGCUGAGCUUAGAUGGCCGUGUUUGGACAAUGAAAACCAAAACCAAAACUUUCAAAAGAAACAAACGGGGCUUUUUGUUGAGGAGGGCGGGGACGACGCCGGUCAAUACACCUGCCUGCCAUCUCAAUACCACAUUAAUUCUGCAUCAUCUGCUGGACGACUAAAAAGCUCACUCAAGAAAUGUCAAAAUCUACGAAGACACACGGAGCACAGGAUGAUGACGAGACGCGUAUCCCAAUGACUUGCGGCUGGGGUGCGGGCGGCGCGCAAAGCGAGCACGGGGCCGGCGCCGCGUGGUCCCGCUGCGAUGACCCGCACCACCGGAAGCUCGCCAUCUGCAGCAUCAUCUGCGGCAUCACCUGCAUCGGAAUCUGCUCUCUGACAAGUUCAGUCGAGGCGCAGCGGGAGGCCAAUCCGGUGACAGCCGCGGCGCUUUCAAAGCGGGCGAAGAAGUUCGGCAUCAUCUCCAUCGCGGUGUGGGUUUCCGUGUUGGUGUUGACGCCCGUCCUCCUGGUGUUGAUCUCGUACCUCAUCACUCUGGGAGACUGAUGGGACUUCGAUGGGGGGGGGGGUUUAGGCUGAAGCAGGUCACGGAGGAGCCGCUCAAGAGCACGGGAUCAAAAACUUUACAACUGUUGCAGGUUUCUUUUUUAUA